rnacentral:rRNA from 1 species
CACGAAGGGGGCUAGCGUUGCUCGGAAUCACUGGGCGUAAAGCGCACGUAGGCGGCUUUCUAAGUCAGGGGUGAAAUCCUGGAGCUCAACUCCAGAACUGCCUUUGAUACUGGAGAGCUUGAGUCCGGGAGAGGUGAGUGGAACUCCGAGUGUAGAGGUGAAAUUCGUAGAUAUUCGGAAGAACACCAGUGGCGAAGGCGGCUCACUGGCCCGGUACUGACGCUGAGACGCGAAAGCGUGGGGAGCGAACAGG